GACGAACGCUGGCGGCGUGCUUAACACAUGCAAGUCAAGGGGGGAGUCGCAAGACUCAACCGGCGAACGGGUGCGUAACACGUGAGCGACCUACCUAAUUGUGGGGGAUAGCCGGCCCAACGGCCGGGUAAUACCGCAUACGGUCGGAGAGGGGCAUCCCUUUCUGAGGAAAGCCUUCGGGCGCAAUUUGAGGGGCUCGCGGCCUAUCAGCUAGUUGGCGGGGUAACGGCCCACCAAGGCGACGACGGGUAGCUGGUCUGAGAGGAUGGCCAGCCACAUUGGGACUGAGAUACGGCCCAGACUCCUACGGGAGGCAGCAGUGGGGAAUAUUGCGCAAUGGCCGAAAGGCUGACGCAGCGACGCCGCGUGCGGGAUGACG
rnacentral:rRNA from 1 species